AGUAGUAAUAUAAAACAAAACUAAUAUAAAAUGGCGGUCCAAACUAAUUAGAGAAACUCGCUUUAUAAUCGAUAUUACCCGAUAAAUUUCACUUAUUUAACUAAAUUCAUAUACCGCCGUUACUAAGAACUUACAAAACAAUACAGAUCUAAACUUAAUAUAAACAAUCAAAAUCAGGUCAAGGUGUGAUAAAUAAAAAAGAUUAAGUAAGUUACAAUAAAAAUCAUUUAAGAAUAUUAGUAUUAAAUUAAUUAAAAGAAAGAGAAUUUAAUUAAUAAUUAAUUAAAAA
rnacentral:rRNA from 1 species